rnacentral:rRNA from 1 species
GAUGAACGCUGGCGGCGUGCCUAAUACAUGCAAGUCGAGCGAACGGACGAGAAGCUUGCUUUUCUGAUGUUAGCGGCGGACGGGUGAGUAACACGUGGAUAACCUACCUAUAAGACUGGGAUAACUUCGGGAAAACGGAGCUAAUACCAGAUAAUAUUUUGAACCGCAUGGUUCAAAAGUGAAAGACGGUCUUGCUGUCACUUAUAGAUGGAUCCGCGCUGCAUUAGCUAGUUGGUAAGGUAACGGCUUACCAAGGCAACGAUGCAUAGCCGACCUGAGAGGGUGAUCGGCCACACUGGAACUGAGACACGGUCCAGACUCCUACGGGAGGCAGCAGUAGGGAAUCUUCCGCAAUGGGCGAAAGCCUGACGGAGCAACGCCGCGUGAGUGAUGAAGGUCUUCGGAUCGUAAAACUCUGUUAUUAGGGAAGAACAUAUGUGUAAGUAACUGUGCACAUCUUGACGGUACCUAAUCAGAAAGCCCCGGCUAACUACGUG